UCGGGCGGAUCGCCAAAUCCUGCCGCCGCACGGGGUCCGCACGACUCGCCGGCAGGAGCGGGGGACCCAAUCGCGGGCACCGGUGACGGUGUCCUUGGGGUGAAGCCGGGCGGACGGUCUUCGGACCGCUCGACCGGCCGGGUGAUCUCCCACCCGAACCCGACAGCUGACCUCGCAGGCGUCAGGAGAGGCAGC
rnacentral:sRNA from 2 species